UAGGGAAUAUUGCACAAUGGGCGAAAGCCUGAUGCAGCAACGCCGCGUGCACGAUGAAGGCCUUCGGGUCGUAAAGUGCUUUUCGGGGAGAUGAGAAAGGACAGUAUCCCCGGAAUAAGGAUCGGCUAACUACGUGCCAGCAGCCGCGGUAAAACGUAGGAUCCGAGCGUUAUCCGAAUUUACUGGGCGUAAGGCGCGUGUAGGCGGUUCGGUAAGUUGGAUGUGAAAUCUCCUGGCUCAACUGGGAGAGGUCGCUCAAUACUGUCGGACUAGAGGGUGGUAGAGGGAGGUGGAAUUCCCGGUGUAGUGGUGAAAUGCGUAGAUAUCGGGAGGAACACCAGUGGCGAAAGCGGCCUCCUAGACCCGCUCCUGACGCUCAGACGCGAAAGCUAGGGGAGCGAACGGGAUUAGAACCCCGGUAGUCCUAGCUGUAAACGAUGUGAACUUGGUCGUUGGUGGGUAAAAGCCAUCAGUGCCGAGACUAACGCGAUAAGUUCACCG
rnacentral:rRNA from 1 species